GCCAAGGCCAAAACUUUCAAUAUUGAACUUGGAACCUACUGUGAAGAACAUAAGAAAUACAUUUAAAGGUUGUUAGUAACUACUUUUUGAAAAGCCCGAAAGCAGGCACAGAAGACGAAAAGGAAACUUAAAGAGACCUCCGGCGGACAAAGGCUUUGUCCACAUUACGUUUGGCAAAAUUUGCAGUUUGCAGUGAUGGAUAUUGAUUUGAUAGUCAAACUUCUGAUGUCAAUAACUUCAUACAUCAACAAAGUUCUUGAAUCAGU
rnacentral:sRNA from 1 species